rnacentral:lncRNA from 1 species
GUGGGCUAUAGCCUUGGGGGGUGGGGCUGGCCAACUUCGUCCGCCGGGCACGGAAUCGCGUGAGACUUUACGAGGCGCAUCCGUGUGCCAAAAAUAGGCCACAGGCACAGCCGCACGCAAAAAUAGGUGCCCGAAGGCCGGGGCGCCAAGUUCAUCCAGCGGAAAAAUGCCACAAAAACGGGUGGGCUAUAGCCUUGGGGGGUGGGGCUGGCCAACUUCGUCCGCCUGACUCGGAAUGGCGCGAGACUUUGCGAGGCACCUCCAUGUGCCAAAAAUAGGCCGCGGGCACAGCCGCGCCCAAAAAUAACCGCCCGAAGGCCGGGGCGCCAAGUUCGUCCAGCGGAAAAAGCCCACAAAAACGGGUGGGCUAUAGCCUUGGGGGGUGGGGCUGGCCAAUUUCGUCCGCCGGACUCGGAAUGGCGCGAGAGUUUGCGAGGCACCUCCAUGUGCCAAAAAUAGGCCGCGGGCACAGCCGCGCCAAAAAUAACAGCCCGAUGGCCGGGGCGCCACGUUCGUCCAGCGGAAAAAGCCACAAAAACAGGUGGGCUAUAGCCUUGGGGGGUGGGGCUGGCCAACUUCGUCCGUCGGACAC